AAAAAAGCCUCUAGUGAGUGUCGUGGCGGCCCGUACCCCAAACCGACUCAGGUGGUCAGGUAGAGAAUACCAAGGCGAUCGGGUGAACUGUGGUUAAGGAACUCGGCAAAUUGCCCCCGUAACUUCGGGAGAAGGGGGGCCUCCGCUGGUGGUCAGACUUGCUUUGUGAGCUGGUGGGGGUCGCAGAGGCCAGGGGGAAGCGACUGUUUACUAAAAACGCAGGUCCGUGCGAAGUCGUAAGACGAUGUAUACGGACUGACGCCUGCCCGGUGCUGGAACGUUAAGGGGACCGGUUAGCGCACUUCGGUGUGCGAGGCUGAGAACUUAAGCGCCAGUAAACGGCGGUGGUAACUAUAACCAUCCUAAGGUAGCGAAAUUCCUUGUCGGGUAAGUUCCGACCUGCACGAAUGGCGUAACGACUUCCCCGCUGUCACAACCGCAGACCCGGCGAAAUUGCACUACGAGUAAAGAUGCUCGUUACGCGCAGCAGGACGGAAAGACCCCGGGACCUUCACUACAGCUUGACAUUGGCGUUUGGAACGUCUUGUGUAGGAUAGGUGGGAGACUGUGAAGCUGUCACGCUAGUGGCGGUGGAGUCAUUGGUGAAAUACCACUCUGGUCGUUUUGAACGUCUAACUUCGGUCCGUGAUCCGGAUCAGGGACAGUGUCUGGUGGGUAGUUUAACUGGGGCGGUUGCCUCCUAAAGAGUAACGGAGGCGCCCAAAGGUUCCCUCAGCCUGGUUGGUAAUCAGGUGUCGAGUGUAAGUGCACAAGGGAGCUUGACUGUGAGACCGACGGGUCGAGCAGGAGCGAAAGCUGGGACUAGUGAUCCGGCGGUGGCAUGUGGAAGCGCCGUCGCUCAACGGCUAAAAGGUACCCCGGGGAUAACAGGCUGAUCUUCCCCAAGAGUCCAUAUCGACGGGAUGGUUUGGCACCUCGAUGUCGGCUCGUCGCAUCCUGGGGCUGGAGUAGGUCCCAAGGGUUGGGCUGUUCGCCCAUUAAAGCGGUACGCGAGCUGGGUUUAGAACGUCGCGAGACAGUUCGGUCCCUAUCCGCUGCGCGCGCAGGAGACUUGAAAGGAGCUGUCCCUAGUACGAGAGGACCGGGACGGACGAACCUCUGGUGUGCCAGUUGUUCCGCCAGGAGCAUGGCUGGUUGGCUACGUUCGGAAGGGAUAACCGCUGAAAGCAUCUAAGCGGGAAGCUCGCCUUGAGAUGAGGUCUCCCACCACGAAAGUGGGUAAGGCCCCCGGGAGACGACCGGGUUGAUAGGCCGGAGGUGGAAGCAUGGUAACGUGUGGAGCUGACCGGUACUAAUAGGCCGAGGACUUGACCAC
rnacentral:rRNA from 1 species